GUAUAUGACGGUAAUCUCGCUGCAAUAUCUGUCACUCCAUUGAGUACAAGCGUUGAUGAGGCUGACCUAGCUAGCUAGACAGGGUCUCCUUCCUCCCUCAUCACUCUGUGUGUUCUUCUGGAACAUGUAAGCUAGCUUGAUUGAAUAGGAGGAUGUUCUCUGAUAGAGGAGGAACAUAUAUGAGCAAUUGUACUUCCCUGCAUAACCUCCAAACAAGCUCUCAGUGUCUAACUGUUUAAUAUAGGAUAGUCAAGCUUCCAAGACCCCAGACACAUCCAAAUGAAAUAUUGCAUGUGGUAGUCUGCUCUUA
ensembl:misc_RNA 7SK 7SK RNA